rnacentral:rRNA from 1 species
CCUACGGGGGACAGCAGUGGGGAAUAUUGCACAAUGGGGGAAACCCUGAUGCAGCGACGCCGCGUGAGUGAAGAAGUAAUUCGUUAUGUAAAGCUCUAUCAGCAGGGAAGAAAAUGACGGUACCUGAGUAAGAAGCCCCGGCUAACUACGUGCCAGCAGCCGCGGUAAUACGUAGGGGGCAAGCGUUAUCCGGAUUUACUGGGUGUAAAGGGAGCGUAGACGGCAGUGCAAGUCUGGAGUGAAAGGCGGGGGCUCAACCCCCGGACUGCUCUGGAAACUGUACGGCUGGAGUGCAGGAGAGGUAAGUGGAAUUCCUAGUGUAGCGGUGAAAUGCGUAGAUAUUAGGAGGAACACCAGUGGCGAAGGCAGCUUACUGGACUGUAACUGACGUUGAGGCUCGAAAGCGUGGGGAGCGAACAGGAUUAGAUACCCCUGUAGUC